UACGGAGGGGGCGAGCGUUAUUCGGAAUUAUUGGGCGUAAAGGGCGCGUAGGCGGCUGAACAAGUCAAAGGUGAAAUCCCUCGGCUCAACUGAGGAACUGCCUUUGAAACUGUUCGGCUUGAGGCCGGGAGGGGGUAGCGGAAUUCCCAGUGUAGCGGUGAAAUGCGUAGAUAUUGGGAGGAACACCAGUGGCGAAGGCGGCAUCCUGGACCAACACUGACACUGAGGAGCGAAAGCCAGGGGAGCAAACGGG
rnacentral:rRNA from 1 species